rnacentral:ncRNA from 1 species
GUGUGUUGCGGAUUAAAAGGGAAUCAGGUGAGAAUCCUGAGCAGACCCGCUGCUGUAUGUCCCGCCAAGUUGUCACGCAAUCAUUUAGCGUCACUGUUCACUCCUGUGUGGAUGGGAAGGCCGCGUGACAAUGGGAUGAGCCAGAAGACCUGCCAAGUUGGA